rnacentral:rRNA from 1 species
GACGAACGCUGGCGGCGUGCUUAACACAUGCAAGUCGAACGAAGUGGCGAACGGGUGAGUAACGCGUAAUCAACCUGCCCUUCAGAGGGGGACAACAGUUGGAAACGACUGCUAAUCCCGCAUACUGAAGGAGGGGAUUGCGUUUGAUUAGCUAGUUGGAGGGGUAACGGCCAAACAAGGCGAUGAUCAGGAGCCGGGCUGUGAGGAGGAACGGCCACAAGGGGACUGGGACACGGCCCAGACUCCUUCGGGAGGCAGCAGUGGGGAAACAUCCGCAAUGGACGAAAGGCUGACGGAGCAACGCCGGGUGAGUGGUGGCGGCCUUCGGGUUGUAAAGCUCUGUUAAGCGGGACGCGGUACCGGAAGAGAAAGCCACGGCUAACUACGUGCCAGCCGCCGCGGUAAUAC